UACGUAGGUGGCAAGCGUUGACCGGAAUUAUUGGGCGUAAAGCGGGUGCAGGCGGGCUCUUAAGAGUGAUGUGAAAGCCCCCGGCUCAACCGGGGAGGGCCAUUGGAAACUGGGAGGCUUGAGUGUAGGAGAGAAGAGUGGAAUUCCACGUGUAGCGGUGAAAUGCGUAGAGAUGUGGAGGAACACCAGUGGCGAAGGCGACUCUUUGGCUUAUAACUGACGCUGAGGCGCGAAAGCGUGGGGAGCAAACAGG
rnacentral:misc_RNA from 1 species